rnacentral:rRNA from 1 species
GAUGAACGCUGGCGGCGUGCCUAAUACAUGCAAGUCGAGCGAACAGACGAGGAGCUUGCUCCUCUGACGUUAGCGGCGGACGGGUGAGUAACACGUGGAUAACCUACCUAUAAGACUGGGAUAACUUCGGGAAACCGGAGCUAAUACCGGAUAACAUGUUGAACCGCAUGGUUCAACAGUGAAAGACGGUCUUGCUGUCACUUAUAGAUGGAUCCGCGCCGCAUUAGCUAGUUGGUAAGGUAACGGCUUACCAAGGCAACGAUGCGUAGCCGACCUGAGAGGGUGAUCGGCCACACUGGAACUGAGACACGGUCCAGACUCCUACGGGAGGCAGCAGUAGGGAAUCUUACGCAAUGGGCGAAAGCCUGACGGAGCAACGCCGCGUGAGUGAAGAAGGUCUUCGGAUCGUAAAACUCUGUUAUUAGGUAAGAACAAAUGUGUAAGUAACUAUGCACGUCUUGACGGUACCUAAUCAGAAAGCCACGGCUAACUACGUG